UGACGCAGACUUUGGGGGCUGCGAAAGACCCAGGCUGGGCCGAAGCCCCAGAACAGUCAAUGGAACUCCCCUGCUACUCGCGCAUAUGUUUAUAUGUUGCAUUAUAAGCGUAAGUAAUGCCCUGAUACCCGCGGAACGGGCCUCUGCGAGGCGCAUUCUAGGAUGCGCCCGGUGUUUGCUGAAACGACUAGCUUUCAAGGUCUUUCAGUAUCAAGGGAACGGCGGGGUGUCGCACUCAGAAGCCUUCAAAAUGAUGGUUGUAUCACGCAACCGAGCAGACGUGGUCGGGCUGCUCCCGUGCUCCGGAAGAUGAGGCGACCAAAGCGCCCCAAACCCCUUGGCCUUCCGGAGCACCUGCUUAUCGCCAUGCACCUUUUGCCCAUGCACACGUAGCGGUGCAUGUCCUCAAUGUGGCUGGCCCAGUCCUCCUGCGUCUCUAGGCCACGUCACUUCACACCGCGUAGCACGGAGGCGACGGAGUGCGGAUGUGAAGCUUCGCCCUCUUGAG
rnacentral:lncRNA from 1 species